UCCCCUGUCUGUGACAUCUGUUACCCUAUUGAUCUCCAGGGUUGAUUCGGCCCAUCUGGCUGGCUAGGCGGGUGUCUCCUUCCUCCCUCACCGCUCCACGCGCGUCCCUCCCGAAGCUGCGCUGGGUCGAAGAGGAUUACUAUCCCCAACAGAGGAGGACCUGUGUUCGGUCAAGGGUAUACGAAUAGCUCCGUUCCCCAGCUAGAACCUCCGAACAAGCUCUCAAGGUCCAUGAAAAAUUUCUUUGCAGCAGUUCCAUUAGUCCUCAG
rnacentral:snRNA from 1 species